UAUAGCGUAACUAGCUUUUAUUAGUUUUUUAUGCUGCUUUAACACCAAGGGAGUAUGGGGGUAUUGAACGGACGGGUUAUUGCCCGGCAUCAAGAAGGAGAUGAAAAAAAAGCGCCCGUAGGCGCUUUUGAGAAGGG
rnacentral:sRNA from 1 species